UACAGCAGAAGGGCGACAUAUUGUUUGAACAAAAGGACUCCUGUAUGCCUGGUCGGCCCCGUCCAGCAGAUAGAGUGGUGGCCAAGUCUGACCUACUUGUGAGUGAGUGAGUGUUGCGCCGCUUUGGCGUGAUUCGAUAUACCACGAUAAGUCAGGUGACUGUCAGGUGACUGUCAGGACACCCAGGGGGUGGUAGACGUAUACCAGCUGAGCACGAGUAUGGCGCUGACAAACCAAGAAUCAUUACAAGGGCGAAUCUGGGAUUCAAACGUACGAAAACCGGAUCCUGGCACCGAUGACCCCAACCAAACUGUACUCAGCAAGUGGGAUGUCCAGCAUUCCCAGAGACAGUAAUGAGGAGCUGAAGCGAUAUUACUGAUAACAGUCAGUAGAGGAGAGCAACCUAAGCUGUUGUCAACAACACCUAUGGUCGGCCCUUAAAGAACUGCCUAUUCAAAAUCCCAGAUUACUGUUGAAAUAACAUCCUUGAAGUCAGCUGCAAGUAUGCCCAAGGCUAAAGCAAUCAGCUACAUCUUCAGAUAAUGGCAACAAGUGAUUAUGAUUUGCUUGUAAUAAAUAUU